rnacentral:rRNA from 1 species
UAGGGAAUUUUCGGCAAUGGGGGAAACCCUGACCGAGCAACGCCGCGUGAGUGAUGACGGCCUUCGGGUUGUAAAGCUCUGUUGUAAGGGAAGAACGGUAGAUAGAGAAUAUCUAAGUGACGGUACCUUACCAGAAAGCCACGGCUAACUACGUGCCAGCAGCCGCGGUAAUACGUAGGUGGCGAGCGUUAUCCNGGAAUUAUUGGGCGUAAAGGGGGUAAGGGGUGCGUAGCCGGCCUGUUAAGUAAGUGGUUAAAUUGUUGGGCUCAACCCAAUCCAGCCACUUAAACUGGCAGGCUAGAGUAUUGGAGAGGCAAGUGGAAUUCCAUGUGUAGCGGUAAAAUGCGUAGAUAUAUGGAGGAACACCAGUGGCGAAGGCGGCUUGCUAGCCAAAGACUGACGCUCAUGCACGAAAGCGUGGGGAGCAAAUAGGAUUAGAUACCCUAGUAGUCCACGCCGUAAACGAUGAAUACUAAGUAUUGGGGAAACUCAGUGCUGCAGCUAACGCAAUAAGUAUUCCGCCUGUGGAGUAUGCACGCAAGUGUG